AAUAAGAGUGUGUGUCUAGAGAGGCAUGGAGCAUCAAAGAUAUAGUUCGAGAAAUGGGUUUUAACCUAACCUCUAUAUAGAGGGAUAAGGAGAUAGGAAGCAGAUGAGAUCUAGAUAGAUAGAGAGUAACAAGAAACCCAAAAUGUUUCUUUAUCUGCAUUUGCACCUGCACCUACAUACACUACUGCAACUCUUUCAUUCAUAUAUAUAUUGUGUGUAAUGGAGGAGGAGAAGAUGAAGAUAGGUGUGGGAGCAAGUGCAGAUGAAUAUCAGUUUGGAUAAAGUUCAGACUUCCAUUUCCAUCAUUGUUCAUCAUCUUCCUCAAAACCCACCAGACAAUACAUUCGUGGCAGAAUCAAGAUUUGAAGAUAGGGAGAUGAGAUUCCAUUACGUGAUGUUUGGUUUGUGAAAUACAAAAGGAAUGAAAUAUCAUUUCGUAAAAUAUCUGCUUGAUGGUGCAAUUUUUAGAGUAAAGAAAUAGAAUUUCACGGAAUAGUUUAUUUCCUUUACAAUAGGAAGAGCUAUAUAUUCCUGAUGUCUCCUUGGUAUUUGUUAUUCCUAGCCUGUUAGAAAUACCUAUUUUUUAUUAUUCAAAAAAUUCACUUAUAAACUCUUCAUACACAUGUAAUACACGAAUGGGAGAAAUCCAGUUCAUGAACAAUUAUUUUGUUCUUCAAUUUCUUUUUAAUUAGAA